rnacentral:rRNA from 1 species
CCUACGGGCGGCAGCAGUGAGGAAUAUUGGUCAAUGGACGAGAGUCUGAACCAGCCAAGUAGCGUGAAGGAUGACUGCCCUAUGGGUUGUAAACUUCUUUUAUAUGGGAAUAAAACGUUCCACGUGUGGGAUUUUGUAUGUACCAUAUGAAUAAGGAUCGGCUAACUCCGUGCCAGCAGCCGCGGUAAUACGGAGGAUCCGAGCGUUAUCCGGAUUUAUUGGGUUUAAAGGGAGCGUAGGUGGAUUGUUAAGUCAGUUGUGAAAGUUUGCGGCUCAACCGUAAAAUUGCAGUUGAAACUGGCAGUCUUGAGUGCAGUAGAGGUGGGCGGAAUUCGUGGUGUAGCGGUGAAAUGCUUAGAUAUCACGAAGAACUCCGAUUGCGAAGGCAGUUCACUGGACUGCAACUGACACUGAGGCUCGAAAGUGUGGGUAUCAAACAGGAUUAGAUACCCUAGUAGUC